UACGGGGGGGGCAAGCGUUGUUCGGAAUUACUGGGCGUAAAGGGCGCGUUGGCGGUUUGCUAAGUUGAAUGUGAAAACUCUGGGCUUAACCCAGAGCCUGCAUUCAAUACUGGCAGGCUGGAGUUCUGGAGGGGAUAGCGGAAUUCCUGGUGUAGCGGUGAAAUGCGUAGAUAUCAGGAGGAACACCGGUGGCGAAGGCGGCUAUCUGGACAGAAACUGACGCUGAGGCGCGAAAGCUAGGGGAGCAAACGGG
rnacentral:rRNA from 1 species